GGGCGAUUAGCUCAGAUGGUUAGAGCGCGUCACUGAUAAUGACGAGGUCCGAGGUUCGACUCCUCGAUCGCCCA
rnacentral:tRNA from 2 species